rnacentral:misc_RNA from 1 species
AAGUCGUAACAAGGUAACCGUAGGUGAACCUGCGGUUGGAUCAUUAUUAAAUGAAAAACAAUGGCAGCCCCCCUGGAGGGGAGCCCUGCCGCGUUGGACUUGGUGGUCUGCCUGCGUUCGUUCGUUCGAUGCGGUGCCGGUGCUCUUUUGUCCGGUAUCCAUCAGCGGAUGGGUGCAAUCUGAUCACCAAGGGGCUGCCUUCGGGUAUCUGGUGCAAUGCUGGAUAUCCUGUUUGUUCGAGUGGUUCAGCCAUCGGCGGACAAAGGCAGCUGUGUUCACGCACUUUGUAAAACUUUUUGGAUAACUUGUGCAAAUGCAAAAAACAACUUUUGGCAACGGAUCUCUUGGCUCUC